rnacentral:lncRNA from 1 species
AGAUCACCUGAGGUCACGAGUUCGAGACCAGCCUGUCCAACAUGGUGAAACCCCGUUUCUACUAAAAAUACCAAAAAAAUUAUCUGGGCAUGGUGGUGGGUGCCUGUAAUCCCAGCUACUCAGGAGGCUGAGGCAGGAGAAUCACUUGAACCUGGAAUGUGGAGGUUGUAGUGAGCUGAGAUUACACCACUGCACUCCAGCCUGGGUGACAAAAGUGAGACUCUAUCUCAAAAAAAAAAAAAAAGAAGAAAAGAAAAAUGUAUAUUUGGGGGUAGGAGAAAUAGGAUAUUGGAAGACAGCCCUACAUAUGGGGUUUAGGAAAGAGAAGGAGGACAUUAAGAGAAUAUUGGUUAUUCUUUGGUGGGGUCAGGUAUACUCUGAUCAACAGAGAUGAAAUUUGUGGUUUUUUCCCCUGUUUUCUAGAGCGAGAUGUCAGCAAAUUGCCUUCCUUCUUCUUGCUGCAAAGAAUGCUGUGAGCAUCUUAGCUUCAUUCUAGGAUUUUCCUUUAGAAAGAUUUCCUCUGACUUCUUGAGGGGGGCUUCCUCCCGAAAAGUGGGUGGUGGGAGCCACUGGGGAAAGAGAAUUUAAUCCAGUACUUCGGUUUUGAGGCUUGAGAAGAAAGAGUUCUAGGACCACCAGCACUGAAUCCCUGGGGAUAAAGACAUACAUUGGUCCUGGGUCUGCAGGGUCAGCCUGCACCCAGCACUGUGCAGUCGCAGGCACCCUGAGGACGGCAGCAGGAGGGAGCUGGAGAGAUGGGCAGUGGAGCCUGUAACCAUGGGCAUCCACGUUUAGGGCCCUUUGCCGAGAUCUGUCCGAGAGGAUAGGAUCUGUCUUCCUGGUGAAGCUGCAGCAGUUGGUCAGCAACUUCAGCGGCAAGUAGUGGAGACGAGAGUCUCCCAACCAUCACACCAUCUUCUUUGUGGAAUCUUGCAGGGUACCACCAGCCCUGACAUGUGCAUGCAAAGAGAGCAGCAGAUGAGACAGAGACUCCAGCAUCAAUUCCUCUUGAGCACAGAAGUCCAAUUGUCCCAUUUUGCACAGUUUGCGUCCCCGGCAUCUUUGGACAAUUCAAGGAGAAGAGAUUCCUCCAGAGGAUGAGAAGUUAAGCAAAAGAAAAAAACUAAGCCAUUAGCAUAAGGAAGAAGAAAAAAAAAGGAAAAAAACCCAGAACAUUAAAGAAGAGGCAGAAUGCAUCAGUGCCUGGUUCUCAUUCCAGGAGCCCAAAGCCAUAGUGUAUUCCAAGAGGAAGUAAAACAAUAAAUGCCACUUUCAAGGAGUUAAAUGAUGCAAGUGCGGUGAUCCCACCAAAUCCCAUCAGCUCAUCAACAAGGAUCAUCUAGAUUAUGAUGGAUGACAGUGGGCUGUUUUAUCGCCUUCACCAGAUUGCUGCCAGCUGCCUGCCACCUUGAAAAGGUCUGAGACAGACUGAACUUAGUGGUGAGCUUGAACAGUUCACAGUCAUGCAACUAUACUGGUUAUUCCAUGUGCCCCAUGUUACAUCCCCUUAGUUCACUUUUUGUCUGAUUUGUUAAUGUAUAAAUUGACAGUACUUUGAGUCAGGUGCACUACAGGAGUCUUGAUUUUCCAUCAAGGGCUUCUUUGAUGUUGCAGCAUGGGACCCAUACAGGAAUCCCACGGACACUUCCUCACGCAUAUUCUGGAGGUAUGAAAACAUUAACACCCCAUGGGGCAAUCCUUGACCAACUAAGAAGUGGAUCAGUGAGUUAAUGCUUUUAUCUUCUGACUUUCAGGUGAACAGUCCUAAAGCUCAUAGCCCAGCCCCAAUUUCCGUUAGCAAUGACUAGCUUGAUAAAUCAUCCUUGUAUUGAUUUUGCUUCUGUAUUAGAUAGCUUUUGCUGUAUAGCAAACCAUUCCAAAUCUUAGUUGCUUAAGAUAACAACCAUUUAUUUGGCUCAUAAAUGUGUGGAUCAGAUAGAUGAGCAUUCUGCUUAUCUAUUCCAGACUUAGCUGAUCUUAGCUGUGCUGACUCAUGCAUUCUGUGGGCAGGUGCUGAGUCAGAUGGGCACAGGAUAAGCUAGGGCAGCCUCUGUGGGGAUGUCAUUGUGGUUUCCCAUUCUUCAUCAGGGUAGCCUGGGCUUCCUCACAUUGGAGGUUGCAGAGUCCCAAGAAAAUAAAAGCAAGUGUGCAAAGCCUGUGGAUGUCUAGGCUGAAACUGGAACAAUGUCACUUCUGACACAUUCUAUUUGUCCCAGAAAAUCACAAGUUUAGCACAGAUUCAAAUACACUCUAUCUCUGGAUGAAAAGAGCCACAAGGCUGCAUUGCAGAACUUCUACACAGUGAAGGGAAUAAUGGCAACCAUUUUUGCAAAUAUUCGGCUACACUUUCUAUGACUGUGAGUGUGAUGUGUCAACUUGGGUAGGUGAUGGUACCCAGCUAUUUAAUCAAAGAGGAAUCUAGGUGUUGCUGUGAAGGUAUUUUGUAGACAUGGUUAACAUCUAUAACCACCUCACUUUAAGUAAGGAGGAUUACCCUUAGUAAUGUGGCUUUGUCAGAGGUGUGUAAACCAGAGUAACUUCAUCUUGAAUAGGAGCUGGGUAAAAUGAGGCUGAGAUCUACUGGGCUGCAUUCCCAGAAGGUAAAGUCAUUCUAAGUCAUAGGAUGAGAUAAGAGGUCAGCACAACAUACAGGUCAUAAAGACCUUGCUGAUAAAACAGGUUGCAGUAAAGAAGUCGGCCAAAACCCACCAAAACCAAGAUGCAGCAAGAGUGACCUCUGAUCGUCCUCACUGCUACACUCCCACCAGCGCCAUGACCGUUUACAAAUGCCAUGAUAACAUCAGGAAGUUACGUUAUAUGGUCUAAAAAGGGGAGGCAUGAAUAAUCCACUCCUUGCUUAGCAUAUCUUCAAGAAAUAACCAUAAAAAUGGACAACCAGUGACCCUUGGGGCUGCUCUGUUUAUGGAGUAGUGAUUCUUUAUUCCUUUACAUUCUUAAUAAACUUGCCUUCACUUUACUCUAUGGACUCACCCUGAAUUCUUUCUUGCAUGAGAUCCAAGAACCCUCUCUUGGUGUCUGGAUCGGGACCCCUUUCCUGUAACAGCUGUGCCUCAUCACAUCAUUUGAAAGACCUUAAGAGUAAGAACUGAGAUUUCUCAAAGAAGAAGAAAUCCUGUCUCGAGGCCGCAGCAUCAGUUCGCCCUUGAGUGUCCAGGCUGCUGGCCUGUCCUGUGGAUUUCAGACUUGCCAGUUCCUAUCAUUGUGAAAAGUCUGUGAUACGCCAUUUGUGGCCUGUGAGGACUUGUUAUUCAGAGAGAAGUUCAAAAAUACUGAAACUGAAUGUGAGAAAUAUAUAUGUACUUGAAGCUUUACUGGAAAAUUAAAAAUGCAAAUGGAAGAUGUCAGAGCCAUGAGCUGGGAACGGUGUCACCAACAUUUGUUACGAUGGAAGAUUAUAUUUAUCUUUGAGGUCAUUGGGAUUCUCAGUUAUAUGGAAGGCUGGUAGGGAGGAUUAACAGCAGUACAUUCUGCUGAAUGUCCCCUACAUCCUUCCCCUGCAAAUCUAAAAUUGGACAACUUAUCAUCACCUCUAAUUCUCCUAUUCUGGUAACCAGCCACUGUCAUUUCUUACCUGGAUUGUCAUAGCCUCCUAACCGAUCUCUGUGAUUCCACCCUCAGUCCCUUCCAGUCUAUUCUUACCCUACAGGUCAGAGGGAACCCCGGUAAAAUGCUAAGUCAGAUCACACAAUUCCUCAAGUCACAAUCUCACCAAACUUCCAUUGUUCUCGGGAUAAAAAUUGACACGGUAGUUUUCAAGGCUCAGCAUGAUCUGGCCCCGGUUUAACUCUCUGGUCUUGCGUCCUGUUAUUUCCCUCCCUCACUUCAGCAACCCUGGUCUCAUUGCUACUCCCCAAGCACUCUAGACAUGCUCAUGCCUUAAGACCAUGCUGCCUACUCCUCCCAAACAGCUCUUCACCCAGGUGUCUAUAUGGCCUCCACACUCACAUCUCCAAGGGACACCAUCUGCAUUGUAGCACAGACACACAACAUGUUGGAGAUUUGUUAGCCAAUCCCAUAACUUUCUUUUUCUUUUCUUUUAUUGAGACAGGGACUCACUGUUGCACAGGCUGGAGUGCAGUGACAGGAUCAUAGCUGACUGCAGCCUUGAAUUCUUGGGCUCAAAUGAUCCUCCCACCUCAGCCUCCCAAGUAGCUGGGACUACAGCUGUACACUACAACACCUGACUAAUUUUUAACAUUUAUUUAUAGCGAUGGGGUCUCACUAUGUUGCCCAGGCUGAUCUCAAACUCCUGGCCUCAAGUGAUCCUCCUGCCUUGGCCUCCUAAAGUACUGGGAUUACAGGCAUAAGACACCAUGCCCAGCCUCCCUAACCUUCAAGUUGGGGAAAGGGAGGAACAGAUAGGUUAAAUGACUUCCCCAGGGUCUCUCAUCUGAUAGGAAAACUGGCAAAAGAAACCCUGUUUCACAGACCCUGUGUUGCAAGAAAUGUUUCACAAAAUAAUUUCAUUUAGAGAAAGAGGGUUUGGCAACUGAUCAUCCAGAGAACAUUUUCAUCUGGGUAUCUUGGCAUUGCUUGGUUCUAUUAGAGAAUUGUAACGUAGAGAAUGAUGAAUGCAUAUUUAUUCCCACACUGUGUGAGACACAGAGCUGGAAACCUUGCCCCCCAUCCCCCAACCCCCACGUCAACCUCUGCAAUCAACAAACUCAGCAGCACGAAUCCCCAUGUGAAAUGACUAGGGAGAGAAGCUGAUCCCAGCCUUGUACUUUGUCUCUGUCUCAUAUUCAAUAUUCCCUGGCAGGUGCGGAGAAUGACUCAUUCCCCCUACUCCUCUGAAAAUGUCCCUUUCAUGUUUCAUAAACAACAGCUUUGCUGUGCCAUUGUCUCUGUUAGUUAUUUUCAUAAUUCAUAAUUAUCUUCGUUCUUAAAAUGUAGACGUACAUUUAAAAGCAUGAUCCAAUCCAGCUUGAUUGCCG